rnacentral:rRNA from 1 species
AUUGAACGCUGGCGGCAGGCCUAACACAUGCAAGUCGAGCGAGCGGCGGACGGGUGAGUAAUGUCUGGGAAUUGCCCCGUAGAGGGGGAUAACAGUUGGAAACGACUGCUAAUCCCCCAUACGAUUGUCUUCCGCAGGUGGGAUUAGCUAGUUGGUUAGGUAAUGGCUCACCAAGGCGACGAUCCCUAGCUGGUCUGAGAGGAUGAACAGCCACAAUGGAACGGAGACACGGUCCAGACUCCUACGGGAGGAAGCAGUGGGGAAUAUUGAACAAUGGGGGAAACCCUGAUGCAGCCAUGCCGCGUGUGUGAAGAAGGCCUUCGGGUUGUAAAGCACUUUCAGCGAGGAGGCGUUACUCGCAGAAGAAGCACCGGCUAACUCCGUGCCAGCAGCCGCGGUAAUAC